rnacentral:ncRNA from 2 species
CUCUUAUCAAGAGUAGGCAGAGGGAUUUGGCCCGAUGAAGCCCAGCAACCGACCGUAAUACCGUUGUGAAACGGGGCGCUAAUGAAUGCGCCGGGAUUUUUCCCAUAAGGCACGGUGCUAAUUCCAACAGAAGGAUUUCCUUCUGGCAGAUAAGAG